rnacentral:tRNA from 1 species
GCUCAGUUGGUUAAGUGUCUGACUCUUGAUCUCAGCUCAGGUCUUGAUCUCAGGGUUGUGAGUUCAAGCCUCAUACUGGGCU